CAGCGCCCACGCCUACGUCACAGGCAGACAUCAUGUUGUUUUGACGUAGCUCCCCACCAGGCGCUGCUGGUGCAGACCCCGUGGCCGACCACGGGCAGAGGAGCCCGCUGCAGCCUGGAGGCCAGGGGCCCGCCGGCUGCAGGGCACACGGGCUGCGGAGCGAGCGUUAAAGCCAAGCGGAGCAAAGAGCACGUUAAAUACACCUGUGCUGAGCCGUGCUGUGGACUCUGUCCCAGCUGUGAGCGAGGACCAGGACACGACGGCUGCAGCUCGUCGCUCAGAGCGGCAGGAGCCGUUCCUGAAUGGACUGAAAGUCAGACGAUCCAGAAGAGAAAACUAACGCCGCCCCUUUAAAUGUGGCAGCUGCUUUCUUUACUUACCCACAGGACAAGCACUUGUCGUCCCACAGAGAUGAACUAUGACCUUCUCCACAGACCGGACCUGUUCGUAGCUGUUGUCCUCGGAGGCUGCAGCGUGUUCCUGCUGUGUGACCUGCUCCCAGCCUCUCACCUGCCAGGACCAGCUGUGGGGUCCAGCGGCUCACGGGCGGCCCGUGUGUGGGUUUACCGCAGCCGCCAGCUGGACCGGACACAGCCGGAGUCACACACAACACUGCACUUCAUUACUCAGAUAAAGGCAGCAAAGCAGCGAGGCAGAGGAGCUCCAGUCCAACCAACAGUGAAGCCUCGCUGCAGAAACGUCCCCCUGAGCUCUAUGUGGACCUGGAUCCAACAGAGACUCACCGUAGGCGGCACCGAGCAUGUUGUCCUCCGAAUGGACCCACGGACCGGGUCUCCUGGCUUUUAUACUCACACAGAUGCAAUCUUUGAUCUGGGACACUUUAUUCACAUCUGCAUCUGUUACACGGCAGCUAGAGGCCAAACACUGGAUCACAUCCAGGACCGUAGUCCCUCACAGGACUGUUUUAUUUGGAAAGCCAUGAUGAUGUUUUAGUUGCAGUUUGUUAAUUUGUAAAACUGGAAAUGCAUCAAAGAGUGAAGACGAGUCUCCCUGGAUGACUUUUAUCAGUUUAAUGAAUCAUUAUCACGCAGCCAAAUUCUAAAUUAGUUCCACUUAAAGAUAAUCAUGCACUUGGCAGAAAUAAAAGCAAGCUGCUGCUUGAUUAUCA
rnacentral:lncRNA from 1 species